GCAACGGCGGCCCUGAGCGCGGCCCGCCUGGCGGGAAGCGGGGCUCCCCCUAGCGGCCGUGCUCCGCACCGGCCCGCUGAGGUACCUGGCCAUUGGACGGCUUGGUGACCCGUGCUGCCGGGAGCAAGCUGCGGGUGAGCACGGCGGGGAGCGUGGCGACAGCACCGGUACAGCGGGCCCUGCACGGCGUGAGGGGGAAGACCUGGAAGGUUUCCUUGAAGGGGCAACCCUAGAAUACUGGUUUCAGUCUUUUCAUUCUACACAAGCACCUUAAAAGCCUGGGCGCUGUGGCUGCAUGUCUGUCAUACUCCAGCCUUUGUAUCAGGGCUGUGAACACUGCCUCAGAAACAGGGCAUUGGAGAUUGCAGCUUCCUAAGCAGUGAUUCUGUGCUGCUCACAGAGUAUUUAUCCGUGCCAAAUACCUGAGUUAUGUUUAGAAGAAGACUUCAAACAACCUUCACCUCAGCUCAUACAAAACGCCCUCGGAUGGAAGUCAAGCACUGCACAAAUCAGGAGUCACUUUUGGGGUAGCAUUGUGCAAACCAUGCAGCACGGCUGGCAUCGGCUUCAGCUCAAUGACAGACAGGUCCCCAUCACAGCCAGCAUCCCUCCCCUCCCAGAACCACCUGCAGUACCACCCUUUCCUUUACACCUUCUAAGUUGUUGCCCAGGACAUUUUAUUAGCCCUGCUCAGCUGUACAGCACAAAGAAUGCAUAUUUCUUCCUCUGCAUAGUGUUGUCUUUACCAGUAAAAUUUAGCUGGGGCUUGAUGUUCAGAAGGGUGAAGAGAUUAUGGGAGAAGGGAAUAACCCGGGCCAGCUGUGUAUAUUCUGACUGCUCAUUUAAGCAAAGGCAAGGAAAGCAGUCUGGCUGCAAAAGGUAAAAUAUUGCAGGCUAUAUCAUAAGGUUUGGAUGUGAACAUAUGUACACAAUGCUUCUUUCACAGGAUUCCUGCUAUAAACUUUGUCCUUUACCGAGUGAUUCAAUCCUCUGUAAUGAAAAAGCUGCCCCCACUCUGAACUUUACUGUUUUUUUUUUUUUUUCUUUCCAAAGAAUACUAAGAGACUAAAACAAAAGACACAAGAAAAUAUACUCCAGCUUGUGUUAAAAGAAUCUUUCUUGGAAAAUGAAAAGCCAUGGUACCACUGGGAUCAGCCAUUCAAAGGCUCUGAAACUUUGCCACAGCCUCCACAGCUGCUACAGGAGUUCAUUUGAUACAGCACUGCAUUCCCUGUAUGGUUAAUUCACACUUCUCUGGAAGAAUAUAAACCUUCUAGAACAAAAUGUGCUGAGGAUGGCUUUCAGCUGCCACGUUCUUACCUAAAGCCAAGUGCCUUGGAAGUGCAGGUACAGCUACAUUGACAAGAUGAAGGAGAAUGAGACAAAACAGAGUAGAUGAAGUCAGCCCAUGUAUUGAAAGUGAGCCAAAUCGUGAAGGUGACUCAUUAUGAAGAUGUAAACAAUCCCGGUUGGUGACUCAGUGGUGAGGAAGCUUGGCUAAGACAUCUGUAGUCCAUAUAAAGAAAACAGGAUGAUGAGAUUUCUCUGGGGUAUGAUGAACACAACCGAGUAAUUGCUUAGUGGCUUUGUGAAAACUAUCAAAUAUAUAACAUCAGAGAUGUUCUGCAUUAGACAGAGAAGCACUUUGCACACAGCAACUAAAUACCAACUUUGAGAAUUAUCGGGCCUUUGGUUCCUGCUGUUCACAGAAAGCUGCAGAUGGCUGCCUCAGCAGGAAGCCCUUCCCCCUUCCUUAAUGGAACUCGUGGGAAUGCGGGGAUCCUGGAACCGAAGCCCUCCUUCCCUUCCAAACCUCCUCUCCAAACCCCUACUGAGUAAAAGGAAAAAAAUCCCUACAUCCCUGGAAACAUUUUUGCCAGCCUGUUUUUCAGUAAAAACUUAAAUUAACCACUUCACUCCUGAUUAUAAUAAAGAUUUGUUAUUGAAACAG